CAACAAUCAUGACCUUCAGAGAUGAGACCUCUGAAGAAACCCAGACAAGGAUGUCAAUUGGUACUCUACAUGAAAUGGUGUCAUGAUGAACCAUCUCUACCUUAACACCCAGAUAGAGUCUGGCCCCAGCCCAUAGGAUCAAUUUGAAGAUCCCCAAGAUGCCUGACCUCCUGCAGAGAAGAGGAUUCUGAAGAGAUCCAGACGAAGGGAUGGCACUUUCCUUAAAAAGGACCUCCAAGGCACGUAACCUGCAGAGGUGAGGAUUCUGACGACGCGAUGGCAAUUUACGCAUGAUGGUGUCAUGAUGAACCAUCUCUACCUGGACACCCAGAUGGGAGUCUGACCCCGGUCCAUAGAAUCAAUCUCAAGACCUCCAAUACACCCGACCGCCUGCAGAGAAGAGGAUUCUGAAGGGAUGGGAAUUUCAGCGUUUAGCUUAAAAAGGAUCUCCAAGGCACGUAACCUCCUGCAGAGAUGAGGAUUCUGACGACACGAUGGCAAUUUACGCAUGAUGGUGUCAUGAUGAACCAUCUCUACCUGGACACCCAGAUGGGAGUCUUACCCCAGUCCAUAGAAUCAAUCUCAAGACCUCCAAGACACCCGACCCCCUGCAGAGAAGAGGAUUCUGAAGG